UAUCACACGCUUGUACGCCUCCUCCUGGACCGAUCCGCUCCCUCGCCCAGCCUCGCCGCCGGCCAUUGCUCUGCUCUCCCUGUUCAUAGCAGCCUAGCAGGGCUCCAUCCAAUCGGCCGCCUGGUUUUCGCUCUGAGCACGCUCGUCUCACCAUCUGGUCAAAGACGACCUCGUCGUCGUCUUCUCCUUCUCCACCCUUCUCAAGCUCUCCGCCUCCCCGGGGCCCGGGGUGUACAAUACCCCCAGUCCACUCAUCUCACCGAACCCAAACCCUUGCCACGGUUCCUCUGCUCCGACCCAGACCCACCAGAGCAGGCGACGGAGGGGCGCGGAUCGCCAAAAUGCCCUCCGCGCUCUACCUUCCCCUGCUCCUGCUGCUCGCCGCCUCGGCCGCUGCCGGCGCGGCGGCGGCGGCUGCAGAUGCCGCGGACCCGUCGGCGCACGAGGCGCUGUUCGACGCGUGGUGCGCGGAGCACGGCAGGGCCUACGCCACGCCCGAGGAGCGCGCGGCGCGGCUCGCGGUGUUCGCGGACAACGCGGCCUUCGUGGCGGCGCACAACGCCCGCGCCAACGCCAACGCCGCGGGCGGCGGGCCGGCCCCGUCCUACACGCUCGCGCUCAACGCCUUCGCGGACCUCACGCACGACGAGUUCCGCGCCGCGCGCCUCGGCCGCCUCGCGGCCGGCCGGGCCGGGGCGACGCUCCGGAGCGCCGCCGCGCCCGUGUACGGGGGCCUCGGCGGCGGCGUCGCCGUGGUGCCCGAUGCGGUGGACUGGAGGAAGAGCGGGGCCGUCACCAAGGUCAAGGACCAGGGCAGCUGCGGAGCCUGUUGGAGCUUUUCGGCUACAGGUGCUAUUGAAGGAAUAAACAAAAUCAAGACAGGCUCACUGGUCAGUCUUUCUGAACAGGAACUAAUUGACUGUGACAGAUCAUAUAAUAGCGGCUGUGGUGGUGGCCUCAUGGACUAUGCUUUUAAGUUUGUGGUUAAAAAUGGUGGAAUUGACACAGAGGAGGAUUAUCCCUUUCGUGAAGUGGAUGGAACAUGCAACAAGAACAAGCUGAAAAGGCGAGUUGUGACAAUUGAUGGUUACUCUGAUGUUCCUUCCAACAAAGAAGACUUGUUGCUCCAGGCUGUUGCCCAGCAACCAGUUAGUGUGGGAAUAUGUGGCAGCGCCAGAGCAUUCCAGCUAUACUCCCAGGGUAUCUUUGAUGGUCCAUGUCCAACAUCUCUUGAUCAUGCUGUGCUAAUCGUGGGUUAUGGCUCCGAAGGUGGCAAGGACUACUGGAUUGUGAAAAAUUCUUGGGGUGAAAGUUGGGGAAUGAAGGGCUACAUGCAUAUGCAUCGGAACACUGGUGAUUCCAGUGGUAUCUGUGGUAUAAACAUGAUGCCAUCAUUUCCUACCAAAACAAGCCCGAAUCCUCCUCCUUCACCAGGCCCUGGCCCAACCAAAUGCAGUCUGCUUACCUACUGUCCUGAAGGAUCAACUUGUUGUUGCUCAUGGCGCAUCUUGGGCUUUUGCCUUUCUUGGAGCUGCUGUGGACUGGACAAUGCAGUUUGCUGCAAGGAUAACCGUUACUGCUGCCCUCAUGACUAUCCUAUUUGCGAUACAGUUCAUGCCCAGUGUUUCAGGGGCAAUGGCAACUUUUCUGGUAUAGAAGGAAUCAAGAAGAAGCAGUCUUUCUCUAAAAUUCCCUCUUGGAAUGCUUGUAGACUUCAAGUUAUGUUACCAUGCUCUAACAAAAUCUUUCUUAUUUAUGUAUACUAGAGCAUCAAAGCCAUUAAUGGGAAGAGCCCCAUAGUGGUUGGACCAUGGGGAGGGACAGGAGGGUACCCUUGGGAUGACGGUGUGUACUCAACAAUACGCCAGAUUGUGAUCACCCAUGGUGCAGCUAUCGACUCUAUAAGGAUUGAGUAUGAUCUGAAAGGAAGAUCGGUGUGGUCAGAGACGCAUGGGGGCACUGAUGGAGGCUCCGAAACAGAUAAGGUAAAGCUAGAUUUUCCAGACGAAGUCCUUGUGUCUGUAAGUGGACACUAUGGUUCUGUCUGCGGGACUCCAGUGAUCAUAAGAUCACUGACAUUUCAGAGCAACAGUUCGAAGUAUGGACCUUUUGGCACUGAAGAUGGGACGCCUUUCUCACUUCCUGUGAGCAGUGGCAAGAUCAUUGGAUUUCAUGGAAGGUCUGGGUCAUAUCUCAACUCAAUAGGCUUCUAUCUGAAGCAAGUGCAUUUUCCAAAUCCAUUGAAUUCUCCAGCCACACCCAGAAGCCUCCCAACUGCACAUAGUAGAAAUGGAUACAGCUUCAGUGGAGGUGAUACUGGAGCUGACAUGGUCCUUGCUGUGCGAGAUAGAGGCGACAGCUAUGCUGUUUAUGCUAGCAAUCAACCCAAGCAGCAGUAUGCAAACCCAUCACCGGACUACAGUGAUGGAGCUGUCUGGAACAAGAUGAUUUCUUUCCCUAGUUACUAUGGCGACAGAGGAGCUGCAGCCAUCGGCAGCCCUCAGACUUACGGUCCCUGGGGUGGAAGUGGUGGCACCAUCUUUGAUGAUGGUGUUUACACUGGUGUGUGGCAGAUCAAUUUGACACGUGCAGUGGGAAUUUCAUCCAUGAAGGUGCUGUAUGAUCGAAACGGGCAGGCAGUAUGGGGCAACAAGCAUGGAUUCAGCGGAGGUGUUCCACCUGAUAAGAUAGUAUUCGAUUUCCCGUCAGAGGUGUUAACUCAUAUUACUGGGUUUUACGAUUCAGCAAUAAUCAUGGGCCCGACUGUGGUCAGAUCGCUCACAUUCCACACAAACAAGCGAACAUAUGGACCAUAUGGGGAUGAGUGUGGUACAUACUUCUCGACGAGUUUUACCAAUGGAAGGAUAGUAGGAUUUCAUGGCCGGGAGGGGUGGUACAUCGAUGGCAUUGGAGUUCAUGUGCAGGAAGGCAAGGUGGCGCCACAGCAAUUUGUUAGUAGACCAACGACGACCGCUACUAGCCCAUCAUACCAUUACAACAUGCGUACUCAAGCGCAGAGUGAUACGUAUACAAACAACGAGGUUGCUUAUGGCAUAGUGAAAGAACCGGUUCCAAUGGGACCAGGGCCAUGGGGCGGGGAGGGAGGCCGGCCAUGGGAUGACGGCGUCUACACCGGGGUGAAACAAAUCUACAUCAUGAGAGGUGCUUUGAUCGGGUCGAUUCAGAUCGAGUAUGACAGAGAUGGAUACUCCAUCUGGUCUGCAAGGCAUGGGAACAGCGGCCACAUAACCCACAGGGUGAAGCUGGAUUACCCCCACGAGGUGCUGACGUGCGUGUACGGCUACUACAACACGAGCAGGGAGGACGGGCCCCGGGUCCUGAGGUCGCUGACGUUCAUCACCAACCGGGGAAAGUAUGGCCCGUUCGGCGACGAGACCGGCGCCUACUUCUCGUCCGCGAUGACAGUGGGGAAGGUGGUGGGCUUCCACGGCCGCAGCGGGCAGCACCUGGACGCCAUCGGCGUGCACAUGCAGCACUGGAUCGUGGACAGGAGGCCUGCCCCCAAAUACGUACUGUCCAAGUACCUCUUCUGAUCGCCGGGGAGGUCAAAAUAGUAUGUAGUUUCAUCAGCUUAUAAGAGAUGUAAUUUUGGGCAUUGUUUGGUGGCAGCAUUUGAGUUCAUUUCCCCCUAUUCAGGGCGGACUUCUCGAGUGGUGAUUUUUACAUAACUAGGAAACGCUAUCAAAUUGAAUAGAUGUAAAUUGCCCGAUUACCUCCUCUCUGUUGAAUUCGAAUACAUGGUCAGUA